rnacentral:rRNA from 1 species
GAUGAACGCUAGCGGCAGGCUUAACACAUGCAAGUCGAGGGGCAGCACGGGUAGCAAUACCUGGUGGCGACCGGCGCAAGGGUGCGUAACGCGUGAGCAACAUGCCCUAUACAGGGGGAUAAUCCAGGGAAACUUGGUCUAAUAUCCCAUAGCAUUUAGAGGAGGCAUCUUCACUAAAUUAAAGCUUCGGUGGUAUAGGAUUGGCUCGCGUGACAUUAGCUAGAUGGUGAGGUAACGGCCCACCAUGGCUAUGAUGUCUAGGGGUUCUGAGAGGAAGACCCCCCACACUGGGACUGAGACACGGCCCAGACUCCUACGGGAGGCAGCAGUGAGGAAUAUUGGACAAUGGACGCAAGUCUGAUCCAGCAAUGCCGCGUGCAGGACGAAGGCCUUCGGGUUGUAAACUGCUUUUGUACGGAACGAAAGCCUUCUUCUAAUACAGGAGGGUCAUGACGGUACCGUAAGAAUAAGCACCGGCUAACUACGUGCC